UCAGGUGUGGAGAAACUCCGCAGCCUGAGAUGAUGGGUCUUUGAGAAAAAAAAGGACGAAUCCCCUUUCAUUCCUUGGUUUACAUCCAUAUUUCUUGCCUGAGACGGAUGCUGUUCCCACCUUUCUGGACCUCCAUAUCUCCUCUGGCCUCUCCAGCCCCUUCUCCACACAACAGCUGGAGAUGAAGACCCAUAUAUCCUAAGCAGAGCCUCUAAGAACCCUUAUAACCUGACCCCUGGCGACUUCUCCAGCUCCACCCAGGACCAGCACCCCCAGCUCGGUGCUCAGUGCAAAAGUGGCCCAUGAAAGGUUGAGAGAAAAGGAAACUGUUAGGACCUGUUGCCCUGAGCUGAUGAGCUGGCAAGCCACAGCGGGAUGGCUGUCCCCUGAGAGAUGGGAGAGGAGGGGAAACGACCCAGCAGGGGCCUGGAGCAGCUGGCUGGCGUCAAUAAUUUCCUGUAGGAGAUUUUGCUGGCCGGGUACACGUCACCCUGCUGUUGCCCCUCUGUCCUCUCCCAUGUGCUGCUAAAAUAAACUAAAGCAACCCUUGG